rnacentral:rRNA from 1 species
GAUGAACGCUGGCGGCGUGCCUAAUACAUGCAAGUCGAGCGAACAGACGAGGUGCUUGCUCCUCUGAUGUUAGCGGCGGACGGGUGAGUAACACGAGGAUAACUUACCUUUAAGAUUGGGAUAACUUAGGGAAACUGGUGCUAAUUCCGGAUCAUUUCUUCAACCGCAUGGUUCAAUAGCGUAAGACGGUUUUGCUGUCCCUUCUAGAUGGAUCCGUGCCGCAUUAGCUAGUUGGUACGGUAACGGCUUCCCAUGGCGACGAUGCGUAGCCGACCUGCGAGGGGGUACGGCCACACAGAGGCGGAGACGCGAUCCUGACACCGACGGAAGGCAGAGAUAGGGAAGCGACCGCAAUGGGCGGAAGCCUGACGGAGCGGCGGCGCGUGGAUGAUGAAAGGCUUCGGAUCGUAUGACUCUGUUAGUAUGGAAGAACAAAUGUAGAAGGAACUAUGCACGUCUUGACGGUACCUAAACAGGAAGCAACGGCUAACUACGUG